rnacentral:rRNA from 1 species
GGUUUCCAUAGGUGAACCUGCAGAAGGAUCAUUG